rnacentral:misc_RNA from 1 species
UCCGGCUUUUCGCCGACAGUCUCCGUAGGGUGCUCAGCUUCACCUGAUGGCAACUACGGACAAGGGUUGCGCUCGUUGCGGGACUUAACCCAACAUCUCACGACACGAGCUGACGACAGCCAUGCAGCACCUCUGCACCCGCUCGCCGAAGCGAGACCUCCCAUCUCUGGGACUCGCAGGUGCACUUCAAACCCCGGUAAGGUUCUUCGCGUUGCGUCGAAUUAAACCACAUGCUCCACCGCUUGUGCGGGCCCCCGUCAAUUCCUUUGAGUUUCAGCCUUGCGGCCGUACUCCCCAGGCGGGGUACUUAAUGCGUUAGCCUCCGGCACGGAGGGACUUUCAACAACCCCCCACACCAAGUACCCAUCGUUUAGGGCCAGGACUAC